rnacentral:RNase_P_RNA from 1 species
AUAGUUGGAUAAAGCAUAGCCGUCGCGGCAUCCGUGGCGGAGGAAAGUCCGGACUGCGCGGGACAGCACACCGGCCAAUUACCGGGCAGAGUAAUCUGACGAUUAGAGCAACAGUGACGAAGCAGACGCCAAGUCUGAGUGAAACGGGCAAUCUCUGUGUGCAGCAACUUCAAAUAGGUUUCCAAUGAUUUGUCCCGAAUCGGAAACGGGUAGAGGGCUUGACACUUUGUGGUAACACUUUGUGCAGAUUAAUUAUGCUUGCCACCCAUUUGUUUGGUGUCGCACGCGCCGGAACGACACUGAAUUUGGGCGGAACAGAAUCCGGCUUAUAAUCUGGCUAUGACG